GGGGGUAUAGCUUAGUGGUAGAGCAUUCGACUGCAGAUCGAGAAGUACCCGAUUUAAACCCCGGUGUCCUCU